GUGGCGUCGACAGAGUCUUCUCUUGCACUCGCAUCUGCAACAUCUCAAAUAUGGUUUCUCGCGUCGUGUUGGUCGUGCUGGUGGUGGUCGUCCUAGCGGCCGCAGCAGUGGCUCUCCCUGACCCCACCAAACGGCACUUGGGAUACGGCUUGUACGGAGGAUACGGAGGAUACGGCCUCGGAGGAUUUGGCUUGGGAGGCUACGGAGGCUAUGGAUCCCGCUAUCCUUAUUACGGAUCCUACUACGGAUAGAUGGUGGUACACCGGGUGUUAAGUUAUCUCUGUAUCUUCGUCUUCAAUAAAACUUUAUUUUUGCGAAGUAGUGGUAAUUGCUCAAGCCUUAUGCCUUUAUAUUCAUAGUGCUAAUAUAAAAGUAUUAUAAUUACUACUCUUUAACGUGGCUAAAUAUUGUAACAUGAAUACAAACCAACAAUAUAUAUAUAAAUAUGUAUG